rnacentral:rRNA from 1 species
CCUGUGAGGGUUGCUGGAGGUAUCAGAAGUGCGAAUGCUGACAUAAGUAACGAUAAAGCGGGUGAAAAGCCCGCUCGCCGGAAGACCAAGGGUUCCUGUCCAACGUUAAUCGGGGCAGGGUGAGUCGACCCCUAAGGCGAGGCCGAAAGGCGUAGUCGAUGGGAAACGGGUUAAUAUUCCCGUACUUGGUGUUACUGCGAAGGGGGGACGGAGAAGGCUAUGUUGGCCGGGCGACGGUUGUCCCGGUUUAAGCGUGUAGGUGUGUGUUCCAGGUAAAUCCGGUUCACUUUAACACUGAGGCGUGAUGACGAGGCACUACGGUGCUGAAGCAACAAAUGCCCUGCUUCCAGGAAAAGCCUCUAAGCAUCAGGUAACAUCAAAUCGUACCCCAAACCGACACAGGUGGUCAGGUAGAGAAUACCAAGGCGCUUGAGAGAACUCGGGUGAAGGAACUAGGCAAAAUGGUGCCGUAACUUCGGGAGAAGGCACGCUGACAUGUAGGUGAAGUGAUUUACUCAUGGAGCUGAAGUCAGUCGAAGAUACCAGCUGGCUGCAACUGUUUAUUAAAAACACAGCACUGUGCAAACACGAAAGUGGACGUAUACGGUGUGACGCCUGCCCGGUGCCGGAAGGUUAAUUGAUGGGGUCAGCGCAAGCGAAGCUCCUGAUCGAAGCCCCGGUAAACGGCGGCCGUAACUAUAACGGUCCUAAGGUAGCGAAAUUCCUUGUCGGGUAAGUUCCGACCUGCACGAAUGGCGUAAUGAUGGCCAGGCUGUCUCCACCCGAGACUCAGUGAAAUUGAACUCGCUGUGAAGAUGCAGUGUACCCGCGGCAAGACGGAAAGACCCCGUGAACCUUUACUAUAGCUUGACACUGAACAUUGAGCCUUGAUGUGUAGGAUAGGUGGGAGGCUUUGAAGUGUGGACGCCAGUCUGCAUGGAGCCGACCUUGAAAUACCACCCUUUAAUGUUUGAUGUUCUAACGUGGACCCGUAAUCCGGGUUGCGGACAGUGUCUGGUGGGUAGUUUGACUGGGGCGGUCUCCUCCUAAAGAGUAACGGAGGAGCACGAAGGUUGGCUAAUCCUGGUCGGACAUCAGGAGGUUAGUGCAAUGGCAUAAGCCAGCUUGACUGCGAGCGUGACGGCGCGAGCAGGUGCGAAAGCAGGUCAUAGUGAUCCGGUGGUUCUGAAUGGAAGGGCCAUCGCUCAACGGAUAAAAGGUACUCCGGGGAUAACAGGCUGAUACCGCCCAAGAGUUCAUAUCGACGGCGGUGUUUGGCACCUCGAUGUCGGCUCAUCACAUCCUGGGGCUGAAGUAGGUCCCAAGGGUAUGGCUGUUCGCCAUUUAAAGUGGUACGCGAGCUGGGUUUAGAACGUCGUGAGACAGUUCGGUCCCUAUCUGCCGUGGGCGCUGGAGAACUGAGGGGGGCUGCUCCUAGUACGAGAGGACCGGAGUGGACGCAUCACUGGUGUUCGGGUUGUCAUGCCAAUGGCACUGCCCGGUAGCUAAAUGCGGAAGAGAUAAGUGCUGAAAGCAUCUAAGCACGAAACUUGCCCCGA